AUUGAACGCUGGCGGAAUGCUUUACACAUGCAAGCCGAACGGCAGCACGGACUUCGGUCUGGUGGCGAGUGGCGAACGGGUGAGUAAUGUAUCGGAACGUGCCCAGUCGUGGGGGAUAACGUAGUGAAAAUUACGCUAAUACCGCAUACGAUCUAUGGAUGAAAGCGGGGGAUCGCGAGACCUCGCGCGAUUGGAGCGGCCGAUAUCAGAUUAGGUAGUUGGUGGGGUAAAGGCCCACCAAGCCAACGAUCUGUAGCUGGUCUGAGAGGACGACCAGCCACACUGGAACUGAGACACGGUCCAGACUCCUACGGGAGGCAGCAGUGGGGAAUUUUGGACAAUGGGCGAAAGCCUGAUCCAGCCAUUCCGCGUGCAGGAUGAAGGCCCUCGGGUUGUAAACUGCUUUUGUACAGAACGAAAAGGUUUCUACUAAUACUAGGAGCUCAUGACGGUACUGUAAGAAUAAGCACCGGCUAACUACGUGCCAGCAGCCGCAGUAA
rnacentral:rRNA from 1 species